CCUACGGGAGGCAGCAGUGGGGAAUAUUGCACAAUGGGGGGAACCCUGAUGCAGCGACGCCGCGUGAGUGAAGAAGUAUCUCGGUAUGUAAAGCUCUAUCAGCAGGGAAGAAAAUGACGGUACCUGACUAAGAAGCCCCGGCUAACUACGUGCCAGCAGCCGCAGUCAAACGUGGGGGGCAAGCGUUAUCCGGAUUUACUGGGUGUAAAGGGAGCGUAGACGGCAGAGCAAGUCUGAAGUGAAAGCCCGCGGCACAACUGCGGGACUGUGUGGGAAACUGCCCGGCUUGAGUGCUGGAGAGGUAAGCGGAAUUCCUAGUGUAGCGGUGAAAUGCGUAGAUAUGAGGAGGAACACCAGUGGCGAAGGCGGCUUACUGGACAGUAACUGACGUUGAGGCUCGAAAGCGUGGGGAGCGAACAGGAUUAGAUACCCUUGUAGUC
rnacentral:rRNA from 1 species